GGGAGUGAGAAGUAAGCGGAAAAGAUGUCGUGUGAGCAGUACUCCCGAUACGGCAGUGCGCUCAUGUGCCGGCUUGAAGGCUAGCGGGCUGAGCCAGGAGAUAGGAUGGGUCGGGUCUCUUUUGGGGGUUGGAGAUUCCAGGAUAACCUUGGCUUUGCAGAGGAGGGAAGUUUGUAGCCGUCUUCUCUCGCUUUAGUCGAGUGAUACAAGUUAAACUACUCCAAGGCCUAGCCAAAUCUCCCUGCAUUUUAGCAAAAAUAUGCCAGUGCCAAAGUCUCCCUAAAGAUCUUCGUCCAACACUAAAACCCGUAAAGGAAUUUGAAAAGACAACAUGCAAGACGCUGAUAGUAAAUCAAAACUUGGGUUUAUGCUGUUCUGCAACAGUAGCUGGUGGCUUGAAGUGUUUGUUUCCUGGACACAUCAACUGGAAUGUGUCAGCUGCAAACAUAAUAUCUCAGUUGAAGACUGUGUUCUGCAGAGGUGAAAAAAUGAAUGUUCCAUCCCUGAAAUCUUUCAGUACUUCCAGAAAAAUGAGUCACAAACUAAGCCUAUUGUAUACUGAGUGGCCUAUGAAAGUAGUAGAGAGGCAAUAUUCUUCUAUACCAACCGGAAAACUAGAAGUUCAACAAAUCAAGAGACCUCUAAAAGCAUCUAGGACCAAACAGCCAUCCAGGGUUAACCUUCCACUUUCUUCUGCGAAUGAGGUUUUUAAUUUCAGUUUGGUUUUCUUGGAGGCCAGUGAGUGAUUCUUAGAUUCUCCGUAAACACUGUAAUCCAGGGUCAUUGGAAAUAAUCAACAGAAGGAAGACAUUAGAAUUCAGGGGAAUUCGGAAAGACUUCCUGUUGAAAGUGGGAUUUUAACUAGGACUUCAUGGAAACCAGGGGGUGGAGAAGAGGAGGCAGAGAACGCUAUGCUGGAACCUGAUACACUGCACAGUCUUUGCAACAGUGGAUGAAUAUCAUCUUGGUAAUCUAUCUCAUGAACUAGGAUCUCAUGAAUAUAUGGAAAUAACCAACUUCCCUAGAGCCAACCUGGGAUAUUCCCAUAUUGCAGUUGGAUAAAAUGAGGCUAAGUGACUUGUCCAGAGUCACAA